AUAUGUGCGUUAGCCCUUUAAAAAUAAAUCCAAUAUUUAAAAAAUAUAUAUUUGAAACAAUCAGGCAUACAAUGGACAGCCACAGCCCCACUCGGAGUAAUUAAAAUACUGAUUGGCUGAGGGGCGACAGGUGCAAACAGGUGUGUGAGAUGCUGCUUCAUCAAACUUAGUGACCUGUAACGUCUGCGCUGAGGACGAGGGGAGACGCUGAGACGUUAACAGACUGUGUGGACCCACUGUUUCCAUGUGGUUAGCAGCAGAGCUAAUGCUAAACCACGAGCCUUUUCAGCUGACUUCUCUCCUCCAGCCGUUUACAUCCUCAAGGGACCAAGAGAAAAUGAACUGCCGCCGAGAGCAUGGAAAAUGUGACUGAUCAUGGUGCGAUACUCGCUGGCCCAGAUGAAAGACCCAAACCACUUCCUUUCUUCAGCAAGAAGACUGCCCCCUCGCUCCCAGGACUUCAUCCCAUCUGGCCAUUAACUUCACCUCUCUAUCAAUGCUGAGGAUUUAAGAAAUAGAAAAAUGUUGCUACUGAUGGUUUCUAAGAGGGAAUGGCACAGAUGGGCCCACUGCAGACUCAACAGCUUGAAAAGCAACAUGUCCAGCGACAGCAAGGACGGCCACUGCCAAAGAUUGAACAGCCUGUCGACCUAUGCCCGUUUACUUUCUGCAUAUUUAUCAGCUUCCAGCCCGUUAGUCUGUAACACAGAACAACACGCAGCUACAAACACGUUUAACCUCUUGAAACUUGAUGGGCUGAUUAUCUCUCUUACUGUCAUUUUAAAUCUAUUUCAUACGCUUCAUUAGGCAGUUUAAUUGAAUGAGCGAGAUCUUAACCGAGCACUGACACAGCUUUCCAAAGUAACAUUCUGUUCAUCACUAAUGCUCGGGCUGUGUGACUAUCAUUGUACAAACUCUCUGAGCUUUGAGAACCCCCCCCCC